rnacentral:rRNA from 1 species
GAUGAACGCUGGCGGCGUGCCUAAUACAUGCAAGUCGAGCGAAUGGAUUAAGAGCUCGCUCUUAUGAAGUUAGCGGCGGACGGGUGAGUAACACGUGGGUAACCUGCCCAUAAGACUGGGAUAACUCCGGGAAACCGGGGCUAAUACCGGAUAACAUUUUGAACCGCAUGGUUCGAAAUUGAACGGCGGCUUCGGCUGUCACUUAUGGAUGGACCCGCGUCGCAUUAGCUAGUUGGUGAGGUAACGGCUCACCAAGGCAACGAUGCGUAGCCGACCUGAGAGGGUGAUCGGCCACACUGGGACUGAGACACGGCCCAGACUCCUACGGGAGGCAGCAGUAGGGAAUCUUCCGCAAUGGACGAAAGUCUGACGGAGCAACGCCGCGUGAGUGAUGAAGGCUUUCGGGUCGUAAAACUCUGUUGUUAGGGAAGAACAAGUGCUAGUUGAAUAAGCUGGCACCUUGACGGUACCUAACCAGAAAGCCACGGCUAACUACGUGCCAGCCGCCGCUGUAA